rnacentral:siRNA from 1 species
UCGAGUACGAGCUUCAUACAGCC